AAAACCAGGGUGUAAGGAUGUGGGGAAAAGCCCCCAAAGGAGACACCAACAGAAAACAAAGCUCUGGUCUUGUAGGGUGGGUGUUACAAACACGGAGAGGUGGAUCAGAUGGAAGACUAGGGGCGUAUCAUGGGACCCAGCGAGUGGAAAGAGUCCUUAGGAAAGGAUGGUUCAGAAGAAGCUUGCUAUGUAGAAACUGCACUUACAAGUUGAACAAAAUCUACAGGGGAGGGCGAUUGGAUGUUCUUUCAGGGGAAGUGCCAUUCUAUGUCCUACCCAAUCAGACAGGGUGGAUAGCAGUGUUCCAAGGGACCUUCAAGGAAAUCAAUGACUCGAAAUAGAUCAAAUAACAUAAAAGUUUUGUGGAUCCCAUAGCCCAGAGGCUGCCCCUCCAGCCUUGGCAAUGAGAAGGCACUGCUUGGACUUGGUAAAAGGUACCCAGGAAACACCAGGAGUCCCACCCCACCCUGGCUGUUCUGCAGACAGCCUGCUUAGGGAAAUGUCUGAUUCUCCUGGCAAUCGGAAGCCCAGGGAUGUGUGAGAAUAUGUGGUCAGGAAUCCUGUGGCUCCCGGUGAUGCCUGACGCUGGAAGCAGAGGGAAGACAGAGACACCCAUGACAGCUAAAGGACCCAAGGUGGCAGCCCCCGAGAUAAAGGACAAGGUGGCCACAGUGACCCAGAGCAGUACCCAAAUAUUGCUGAGUUUUUUAACCUGAGCAGAGAUGUGUCUUUUUCUAUUUCUAUCAUGUGAAUUAUUUCAAUUCACCUUUUUUUGAGACGAAGUCUCACUAAGUUGCCCAGGCUGGCCUUGAACAUGUGAUCCCUCUGCCUCAGCUUCCCCAGCAGCUGGGAUUACAGGUGUGCUCUGCCAUGCCAGGCUCAACUGACUUUUAAUUACUGUGAAUUAAUCCAAAAGCUCCGGUGAGCUCCCAGUAAUAGGCGAUUUUCGCCUGGGUCUUUACAAAAUAGACAGCAUCGUGUCAUAGAAUGCUGCACAAGUGUUAAGACUCUCCAAGGGAGAGGUGCUAAGAAAGUGGGGCUGGGUCCUCAGCCCUCAGAAGAUUUCAACAGCAGUCUGUGGGGCUGGGAAAUCUUAAAGCUCAGGGGUCUUGAGUGACGUGACUCAGAGCAAUGACAUGACCUGCAUAUAUAUUGCAGCUGGGCUUCUGCUAGCUAGAUUUGAUGGCAGCCCUGAGUUAAAGCCAAGGGCCCCAGUGAGCGCCUCAGAUGCCCAUGCUUGGCUGCCCAUAGCUGGCCCAGGUCUGACUCCAGGUUUCCUACAGGUAGCAACCUAAACUAUUCAGGAUGCCCCUCCUCUGUCCUCAGUGAAUGCUUAAGGAACAACUUCCCUCCCAAGACUUGAGAACUCGGGGGCCCCAGCCUGCAUUUCUGUAGCAGCUGAGCUACAGAAAGAGGAAAUAUGAAGGGAACUUCUAAAAACUGCAACAUAUUUGUCAUACAGAUCAGAUAAGGCAUUUGCUCAUUCCAAAUCCCUGAAAAUCAAGGGCUACUCUUUCACAUUUUCCUGGACCAGUCAGGCAGCAAAGAGCUGAGGACCUUGGGAGCUCCAGGCUGUGAAUCACCAGGGACUCCCCCUGUCUCUCUGUUCAAGGCUGAAGUCAUCCACAUUACAUGAACAGGAGACCUCUUCACACUUAAGGCUUCCAUGAAAAAUGUUUGGGAGGACAAAUGACUUUUCAGCCUUAUGAGUUUGGUUGCAAAGCCUUCAUGAACUAUGAGGGGAAACAUAAAGCAAAAACAAAAACCUCCAAGUAAAUCAAUGCCUCAAAAUAGAUCAAAUAACAUGAAAAUAUUGAAUACAAGCAGGAGAUGCAUCCUAUUCUUUAGAGACAACCACAAAGGCAUGAUUUAUGCUCUCUUUACGGAAGUACUGCUAGGCUCCAAAUCAUGUCCCUCCUUAAUGAAGGACUAAUAACUUGUUUGGGCCACCAGCUUCCAAUCACAAAGACACCUCCAUCUAUGCAUGAUUUUAAGUGACUGAGCAUAGCGUCCAGCGUGUCAGUCUGAUGCCACCUGAAGUACCCAGCAUUGGCUAACGCUAAGGCUACAGAGAAACACAGUGAAAUGCCACAGAGCUCCAUGACUGUCUUGCUAUGGCUUUCCGUUUCCUUCCUGCUUCCUACUGCUCAGCCUGGCCCAGGACACACACCGAUUCAUCCUGUGUCUUCACACGUCUCAGUACAUGUCCUUUCCCAUCUGUCUGCCACACCUCCUUUGAGCCACCAUUCCUGAAAGCCCACUCCCUUCUCGGAGCAGUCCCGGGUCUCAGGGCUCUCUGAGGAUGAUGCAGCUCGAGGUGUUUGGAAGAAGAUACUAAGGGGAAUGAAAAGUCAUGACAGAUCCAAGAGGACUCAAGAAGAUUGUGGCCAAGGAAUGAAACCUGCAUCCUCAGAUAUGACUUCUCUUGGUUUUCUUUUCUUCCAGUGGUAUGGUUCUUUUGGAAACUUCUUGGCUGUCUUCAUUCACUUCUGUCUUUUAUCCACUUAGCAAAGAUGUUCUGAGCACCUACCGUGUUUCAGACAUUUUUUAGAGGCACCUCCACUGGUCAAAUGGGAACCACAGCUUCAUCAGAGAAGUGCACCUGCCCAAGGGAAAUCAGCAUGCACCCAACCCCCAGGUCCAAAGAAGACAACAGAUGAUUUGUCUACUGGGCCUCCCACCGAUCACCAGAUACCUUUUACCAAGCCAGGCAGCAGCUGUGCACUCAACAACUUGCUUUGUCCUGGUUUGUCCUUCAAGAUAGUUGGAUUUCAAUGAGUCACCUCCACCUGCUUCGCCUCUUCUCCACUCAUUUUCCAAAUGAAGACUUACUGCCAUUAAGCAGGUCAGUUGGGAACACAGUAUUUUGGGGCUUGGGCAGAGACUGGGUUUUGGUACCAGGUAGACUCUGGGCAUUUGGAUGUGUGGCUUUAGUGCAAAGAAAGGUCCCCUUGACAGGAGGAAGUGGGCUCCCAGUCUACCUGGCCACGCUGUGGGUGGAGCAAAGAUGCAGGGGCUUGGAGCUGAGGAGUAUUUUCAGCCACUUGCAAAAGACUCAUUCAAAUGGAGCCCAGAUGGAGGUCCAACCCACACACCUAACGGUGUCUUCUCAUCCCCUCCCAGACCUCUCCAAAAGGGACUGUCCUUUCACAUCACCAACAAGACCAGGAGGAAGCAAGGAGGAGACUGGUUUUGUCCAGGAGGCCACUGCAGGGUAGAAUUUUUUUUUUUUUUUUUGAUACCGGGGAUUGAACUUGGGUCUUUGGGCUUGCAAGGCAGGUGGCAGAACCACUGAGCUAAAUCCGCGGCCUCUGCAGGGUAGAAUUUAAACCCAAGUCAGAAACCUAGCUCCACCCUCCCAGCCAUGUAAUCCUGGGUGAGUCCCUGUAUUUAUUUAAUUCUCUCUCUUAUCCAUCUGUGAAAUGGGGCUAAUACUCCACACCGGAUCAUUAGUAUUAACCAUUUACAACCGAGGACUUCCAGUGGUCAAGGCAGGCAUUGUUCUAGAUGUGGAAUGUACCUUUCUCCGCUGAAUUCCACAGCACACCUGUGGGCAGAUGCUGCUCGUGUGAUAUCACAGAGGACAUGUAGAAACCCGGAUCACAACCAGGAGGUUGCGGUGGAUGGUUUCCUGGGACAUGCUGUGCAGGCGCUUCAUGUAGUCCUCGCUGUACCAGACCCGCAGCCACUCCCCGGGCCGGAUGUCCCUGCACGCCCGGAAGUAGAUGCACUCGCUGUGCUGGAAGGCCAGUAGGUUCUGCUCCCUCUCCUCCCUGGAGAUGACCACGUACCUGAGGGCGAGGAGACAGAAAGAAAAGACAUACACAAACACCAGUUCCAGCAUGCGGUGGCCCUGGUGGUAGCCACUGUGGCCAAAGGCACUGAGAAUCUACUCUGGAGAUGCCCCAGAGACGGCCCUUGCAGGCAUCCUGCCCUGAUCUGAAGAGGCCUUUGCAGAAUAGCCUGACUGGGCCCUGGAGGAGGGUACCGCACUUACAAAGGGGUCCAGAGGGCAGACAUUCUGGCAGCAGAGUACAGCAUAGGCCCUGGAGGAAACACAGACAAGGCAAUGGGACAGCAGACUUCACUCUGGCUGCUUCGCCCCCUCCAGAGAAAUAUGUCACAAGCCCCACCCCGCUGUGAGAAAAGCCCAGUGGUGCUCAGAUCCCCAGAACUUGAGUCUGGUCCAGGUACUUAGCUUCCAAGCAUCGGAGCGCUCCUCAGUAUCUGAUGCAAGCAGGGGUCUCCCCACACUUUGAAAAUGAUCUGGUGACUUCCACGCACCCAGCCAUGAUGUUGUUAGCCAAGAACAUAAGGGAAGGGAAAGAGGGCCCCAGUUCCACAGAAGCCAUGCCAGGUGACUACUACUUCCCUAACUUUCCCACUGCACAAUCGGCCUAUUCCAGCCUCCAAUUUAGUGAGAGAUGGAUUUAACAUCUAAAUAUAUUCAGCCUAGCAUAGCAAGAACUGACAUUGCUACAGACACUCCCAGAUACAAACGGAAGGCAAAGCCUCCGACCCUCUCUGUCCCGGAGAGGAGCUCUGCACUCCCAGAGCAGCAUGGGGGGGAUACCCUUCCCGUCACCCCUCUUCUCAAUUUCUAAACAGCUGCCAAGCUCUAAAAAGGCUGAGCUAUUUUUCCAUCACUCCAUGUUAAGAGGAAAAGAUAGCUGAGGAACAUGUUUACAACGAGGAUUUCUUUCUUUAAAGAAGCAUCAUCUACAGUGUGUCAGAAGGUUUGGAAAGACUUGAGUCAAUUUCCCCUUCCAUCCUUCUACUCCACGAGAGCCAAUAUUUAGAUAGAGCACCCCAAGUCUUUGGAUCGAUCACAAUGUAUUUUCAAAGGCAGACCAAUAAACCUGGCAUUUGAAAUAAGAUAUACAUGGCAACUCUUAGCGAAUCACAACAAACCUUUCCCUUGACGCAAAGUCGACGCUAUGGGAUUUUUGAGUAAAGCGAAAUCAGCCAAAUCCCAACACCAAUGACUUCUAAUUAGGUCUCCUGUUUUAAGUAUUUUGUGGCAACACCUAAUGCCCUGACCGGUUCUCAGAAUCCCGUUGUCCCCAUUUGUGACAAUCUCUUUAUGAAGAGUCAGCCCUGUCCAAUCUUGUGGCCACAGGGAAGCUGGAGCCCUCCCUGAGCAGCACAAGGCUUCCAGGGAGUAGGAAGUCAUGCUCUUCAUCGUGGCUGAGCAGUUGUUCACAAGGAGAUCUGAGUGACCAGGACACCCCCUAGUCGGAGAGAAGGCACAGGAAGCGGGUGGAAAAGGCCCGGCUGAGGCUGUCCCAGAGUUGGCCUAAAUCCCAGCCCCAGACUCGGGCACCUUGGAGAGAAUCAAGGUACUGGGUGAUAGUGGCAGUGAGGGUGACAUUUCUGGGCUGAACUUUUCAUGAAGAUAAGGCACUGUUUUGAUUCCAGCCUCCUGGCCAACCCUGGGUACUAGAUAGGCAAGGAUAAAGACAGUUCUCAGGCCUCACACACUGGGUCUUAUCAGGCACACCAGAUUUUCUAGCUGGAUCAGGAAAUGAUUAUGGGUUCCAACUCUUGAGAAUGAAAAUAAUUCACGGGGCAUCCCCUUGAUUGGGAGUGACCAGGUCCACCCCUCCUGCUCUCCAGUGCACAGGAAGUCAUCCAGGUCACAGAGGCAGAAAUGGGAGAGACAGGCCAAGAAGAAAGGCCCUGGGCUCCGUGUUCUCAUGCACAUGAGGUCUCUGGGCUGGUAGGGACUUUGGGUCAUGCCCCCAUCCAUCCAGUGAACCCCUGGCCUCAGGCCACCCAGCCAGCCUCCCCUUCAAGGCUUCCCUAGGUGAUGCUGGCUUAGGUUUCCCAUCCU